AUUUCAUCUUCACUUUCCCCUAAACAGACCCAAACGAACCCUAAGCCUUUCAACAAGAGAAACGCCAAAUCCCACGUGCACAACAACUAUUUCCGGCCCGAAAUAGUAAGCUUUCAACGCGUUUUCAUCGAGUUUAGUUUCGGUCUGCCCAUUUCAGGAAAUUUUUUAAUGCUUCCUUGUCAUCUUCUUCACAAUCAAUAGUAAUAUGCUGCUUCUCUUUUCUUUUUUGACUUUUUCUUCUUUUCCUCCCAACAAAGAUUCGGAUUUCAAUCUGUUUCUAAAUGAAUUUCCAAUUUUGAAUGGAUUCCAAGUCAAUCCAAAUUAUCCCACAUCGAAUUUGAACUACAAAAAAAAUCCUAUAUGGGGUUCUAUAGAACUCGCUCUCUUCAUUAUACGAGAGGAGUUUUGAGACCUACGAUAAGUUUUGGCACCCCCCAGAACCCGGAAUGCUAAAUGAAUUUGGCUAAAAGGCAUUUUGAGCCCGAGCCUUGAAUUCGAGUUGUGUUCUGAGUUCAAAGUUAAUAAUUUUUGUUAGUUCUAUUUGUCGUCGUUGGUGAAAGAUGAUCGACUAAACUCUCGUCGCGCCCGUCGCUGCUCAGCAAAAAGGUGGACAGGGAGAUAGACUUGAUCCUUAGGCUGCUUAUCCAGAGAAUGCUUAGAGGAGCUCUAUUUGAUCCGGAGCUGCAGCUGUGGGUACUAUUCUUUUGUGUAUAUAUGGGCAUGGCGGGGCUCUAUCCUGUCCUUAUGAUAAUGUUUUAUACUUUUUUUAGAGGCUCGUAGACAGUCGUGUAUAGUAGAUGUCUUUUGCCGUGUCAGCUCAUACUUCUAGUAUAUUAUUUUGUUAAGCCUCGUCAGCUUGUGUAUAUGUACAUGGGCGUAGUUGUUGAUGUUGAUAUAUAAAAGUGUUUUAGCUGUUGGAAAUGGUAUUAUUGAGGCAUAGAGUUUGUCGAUAAACCAUAUGGCUCACGUAGAUAUGAAUGUAAAUGUACGAUGAGAGGUGGCCGGUGGUUAGCUCUGGGUGUCCGUCAUGGCCCACCGGUUGGGUCGUGACAAUUGUUGCCUAAUCUAACCUUGAAGAAUAUGGCAGUAUAGCGUUCAAUUCUCAGUGCCUAAUUGCAAUAAGCUGUUUUUCUGCUUAUGGUUUGGAUUCAUGUGAAACUUUAAACUCAACUAUCAAAAAUAGUUGGUAUAGCAUGAUGCAUUGUUUCUAGUUCCUCCCCUGUCAUGUGUAAGUUAACUAGAAAUUAAUCUUAUUUAUAUGGUUAGUUUGAACCUUAAUCCAUCAGAGAUUUCAAAGUCAAUGUCAAAAGGAGUGAGGUUUGUUUGUAUGGUUAACACUAUAUGAUCUCUUUUUCUAUGACUAAUAUUUUGUGUCACCUUUGCUGUGUUAUCUUUCAAGUAAGAUGCCUGUCCAUAUGGUUUUUUAGAGUAAUCUACUCAUGCCUUUACACUAGUCUAAGGAUUUAACAAAAAUAUUUUGUUUGCCCUUUGGGAACACUCAAAUCCUCAGAAGUAGGUGUUAACAUGAGAUUUACAUAAAGUAUCUUGUCCUCAACCAAGUGUGCCUUGUUAAUAUUGAUAAUAAUAUCCAGAAACCUUACUGCUUAAGGACUCAAACUAUUUUGCUCUAUAUAAAAUACAGUAUUCUUUCGUAUGAAAAUCUGGAAUUAUACUCAUUCUUAUCCCUCUUUUCUUUGCAUGACUUGGGAUUUUCAAAUCCCAAAUGUCCCGGAAGUUGCUGUUGAACUUGUGAACAUUUGCUGCACCUGUGAGGCCAUCUUUGGCCACUCUGUUGCUACUUGUUGCUGCCAUAGAUUGUUUCCUUUUGGCUGCUACUUUGGUGUUGGGUUUGUGUGCCACAUUUGAUAAAAAUAGCUGCUGCUAAACUUUGGAAUAAAUAGCUGCACUUUGAGGCUUAGAAUAGGCAGACUACUGCUGCAUUUCUUGAGCCAUCUGCUGCUGCCUUUUGGGGCAAAAAACUAUUGUACUUGAUGCAGUUUGAGGCCCUUAGAGUGUUGCACUUUGGCCACAACUUUUAGCUAGCUGCUGUUGCCACUUUUGGGCUGCUGCUAUACUGUAAACAGCUACUGCAUUUGUGUGGUAAUCCAGUGCCUAUGUUGAGAAAAAACGUGGUUAUACUUGGCUGCUAUGCAGAUGUUACACUCGAUAAAAUAGUUGAUGUUUUGCUGCUACUUGUAGCUGUGCUAAUUGCUGCAUUUGGGAUAUAUUGGUGCAAUUCUGCGCUAAUUCGCUACUGUGUUUCGAGAAUCAAUCUGCUACAUUUUAGGCAGCAUUGAAGCUAAAAUGGCUGCCAAGUCUUUGGGUCAUUUUGUUGUUGUGUUUCUUGAACAAGUGUUGUUGCUUCUAUUCCCUUGAAGAAACAUGGCUGAUGCUAUUCUUGAUGAAAAUGAUUUUUUAUGAUGUUUUUGACCUGCUGCUUUUUUUUUUUUUCCAGCAGAAACAGAUGAUACACUUGAUAAAAAAUACCACUGAUUUGAACAUGAUACUACACUUGGGCCAAUGAAAAAAUUACUUUUGAGGCCAUGCCUUGUCCGGAAAGUUUACCCUCGGUUUAGGCGUUGAUGGCCUCAUAGUAGUAUCACGAGGUAGGAACGAACAUGCAUUUGGUGAGGCAACUAGAAUGGCCACUAGUCUGCAGCCAAGACAUGUUUCAGAUUCCUUUGCCACAUUCGAAAACUUGAGUUUGAGCCUCCGUAAUCAAAGCUCUCAAAAGUUUAAUAUGAGUUCGAGGGAUAUUAUUAUUUUAUUAUUAUGUUCAUAAACUUCACCCUAUAGGGUGGCGUAUUAUUUUGACUAACUACUUUUCCCUUCAAUGUGCGAGGUACAAAUAAGCGAAUUUGUGGAGCAAAGUUUAAAGACGAAUUAAGAGAGUCGGAUGCUUAGAGCUUUGGUGUGUUGGAGCUUCGGACGAAAAACUAAAGAGCAUAGAAGACCUAUUAGAAUACGAUUGCUAAAAGAUCUGGCCCAAGGCCAAAAAGCUAAACUUUCUUUCCCCUCUCUUCAUAAUAUGUUUACAUUAGUUUUGUAUGAACAUGUAAAAAUACAUUUGUGUAGAUAUUGAAACCUUUAUAAGUUGGAACUUAGGAUUUAGGUAAACAAUACAGAUAGGGACUCGAAUAUGUUUCAAAUUGGACCCGAAAGAAAUGAGUUGUAUUCCAUUUGUUUAAAAGUAAAUAAAAGUGAAAAUGUUUUUUCUUAUACAAAAAAUUGAUUACCUUUAAGUAAUAUCUUUAAAGUAUAUUUCAUGAUUUAAAGAGUUUGAGAAAAAAAAGUGGAAAAGAAUAUUCGUGGGUAAGUCUUGGGCCUUACAACAGUUUUCCAAAGCUUAUUAUGGGUUGGACCCAACUUAAAUGAAUUCAAAAGAUUGAAAUUUCCUUCAAACCCAAGUUUUGGGAAAAUAGCUUUGGUAGGGAAUAUGGCAGACCUUAAGCGAGCUAAAAUGAUUAAAUAAGUGAAAUCGUUUUUCUUUAUUUAUGCUUAUAAUACUUAUGCUAUUUUCAAGGGAGUAUACUCCAUAUAUAUAUAUAAACUUAUAAGGAUUCAAAUCAUGACAUUGGACCAUGUUAAUAGAAACUUUAUUUAAGAGAAAAUCUUAAGUCUGUUUUGGUCCGGAAAUGAAAUGAAUUCAACCCUUAUAAAAUCGUUUCCUAAAAAACUUUUUUUGCCAAAAAUGGAGUUAUGAUAUGACAUGACAAUUUUUGCAAGAAAGGAAACAAUUUAACAAAUAAUCACAUUAAUCACACAUAGAUGCUCGUAGGUCAACCGUAUUCUACGGAUCCUUAAUACUAGGGUGCUUAAAACUGUCACGACUCAACUCGUGGGCUAUGACGGGUACCAGGAGCUGACUACUGAGUACCACUCAUUAGGCUAAUUAUCAUAUCCAACCUGAACACAUAUAAUCUCCCAGACAAUACACAUGUAUAUAUAUACAUAGGCCCUCACGGCUACAAAAUACACACUGCGGUAAUCAUAAGAUAUCUAAUACCCACACACAUGUAUCUACGAGCCUCUACUAGAAUACUGAGACAUAAGGACGGGACAUGACCCCGUCGUGCCCAAAUGUGUACACAAAAGAAUGUAUCAACCAAUAGCACCUCUGGAGUAGUGGAGUGUUCUUGUGAAUCUGCUGAGUAGCUCCUAAGAAUCUGGGCCACCUCCCUGCCUACCUGUGGGCAUGAAUACAUUGUCUAUAGAAAGAAAAGGACGUCAGUACGAACAAUGUACUGACUAUGUAAGGCAUACACAAUAACAUGAUAAAGAAAUGCAAGAAUAUAAGAUAAAGGGGUAACCUGUAACAGAUUGCCUCUUAAGGCAGAGUUAUGCAUGCUAACUGAUAUAAUAAACAACAUCGUGUCAUGUAAGAAUAUGUAUGUAACUGCCCGACCAUAUAGGUGCGGUGUGAUCAUCAUUAGCUCGCGUCCGAGCCUCCCGCGUCCGGGGUAAAAAUCUCAAGCCGCCCAUUAGUGGUGUCUGCCCAUGCCAUCUAGACAUGGUGUAUAUGCCGCCCACCUUAGUGGUGUCUGUCCGGCCAUGUAGGCACGGUGUAAUCUCAUCAGGAUAUACUUAUCAUGAAGCAUGCACAAGAACUCAAGUGAAAGCUACAACUCUACCGAGGUGAUGUAAGUUCGAGAACCCCUGAUUCCAUUAUGGAGUAGUCACGGUCAUCAUAUCUCACCUUGAAGGAACUAGCGUCAUAAGGUGAGCCUAAUAACAAUGAACAUCAUCAAGGAAUCAUAUAAGGAUCAUUUAGCUUCAUAAGACUAUCAUAUCAUAAUCUUUGAAGUCUCUAGGCUUAGAUUCACCAUCAUCAUUGCCAUAUUCAUAACACAUUUCUUAUCUUUAUCUCAUGAGAAGCUUUUGAUAAUCAUAGACUUAUUGUUUACAGAAUAUAAGAGAUAUAUGGAAAGAUAAGGAAGUCAUAUUCAUAUUAUAGAGGUCAUGCCUUAGAAAAAGAAGAGACUAGCCUUACAUACCUUUAUGUUUCCUUAACGACUAAGCGUCUUCCUUCCAAUCUUACAACUCUACAUUCAAGGGAAUUCGUACUAGGAUUAGAUAACUGGAAACAUACUUAAGCUUAAGAUAAAGCUAAUGAAAAUUGGGCAGCAUCUCCUUUGUUCUAUAACUUUCUUCAUAUAAUAACCAACUUCCAAACAUCAAUAACAACACUACAAUAUCGUAAUCAAUGAUCUUCACCGAGCUAUACAUCAUUCAAUUCUCACAAUUCUAUUUCAAAGUCAUUCAUAACAAUAGCUACAAUACAACACCACAUUCAUCCUCAUAUAAUGCUUCUUUAACAUCAUUUAUAUCAUUUAUAACAAGAUCAUACUCACAACAUGUCAAGAACUCUAAUUCAAGUCAAAGCACUAUUCAAGAAUACCAUUAUUUUCACAUUUGAGCUCCAUAUUCUACGUUCCUCCUCAAUCCAAGUCUUUCAACCAUUCAAUACUCUUAGGGGUCGUUUGGUUGAAGGUAUAAGCUGAAAUAUUCCAGCACUAAUUUUUGUACCAUGUUUGGUAGAAGGUAUAAAUUUAUCCUGGGAUAAAUUUAUACCUUGUACCAAACAUGGUACAAAAAUAAGUGCUGGGAUAUCCCAGCUUAUACCUUCUUAACCCACUUAUACUGGGAUUAUUUUAUACCAUCUUUUAGAUGGUAUAAAAUAAUCCCAAUAGAUGGGAUAAAUUAAUCCCGGGAUAAUUUCGACUAUCUACCAAACGACCCCUUAAUAGCAUGAAAUGAACAUAAAACUCACCUUUGAUUAUGUUGGAAUGGGCUUUGGAUGAAAAUACUUCACUUGGAGAAAACCCUAGUGUUAUAUCCCGUAAUUUUGCACAUUUGGAUAAAUCGAAAUAAUUGUGACUAGUAAGAGAUAAGGCAAUAUUUUGAUUCUACUUAAUAUAUAAGUUGUUCAUGGAAACAUAUUGAUGCGGAAAUAUGGAGGAAGGCUAAGGGCAAAAUUGGAAAUUUGAAAAAUAGUUUUCAUGAGUUACAAAAAUUUGUCAUGAAAUAAUGGGCUUGAAAUAAAAAGAAGAAUUUUUUUUUUGGGCUUGAAAAUGGCCAAGAGGUGGCCGGCCAUAGGGGCAUGGCCCAAGCCCAUGUGAAAAAUUAAAUGGACCAAAUAAAAGGAGAGGACCACUACUUAUUCUUCCAUUUCAAGAACUUUCAAGAAAAACCAAUUGAGAGCAAAGCACAAGAGGGGUUUCAGCCAACAACAAAAGAAGAGAAAAAAAAUUGAAGCCUUCCAUCCUUGGUCCAAAAAUUCCUUUCUUCUUGAAUUCUUACUAAUUUCAAGACCCUCUUCAACGUGGUAUAAUUAUUAGAGCAAGAAAAUUACUUUUGUGACAAGUGCAAAAAUUCUAUUCAAGUGGAAAAUUGAGGAAGAAGGUAAGAAUUUCUAUUCUUUUACAUGUUAUGGAAGAUUUAUAUAUGUUGUAGUGAGUAGAAUUGAAUGAAAAUCAUAGAAAUGUUAUGUGUUGUGUGUGGGCCGUGUGGGUGUGUUGUGUGUGUGUGGCCGUGUGGUGCUAAUUGGGUGGAGGAAGAUGAAUUAAUUUUAUUUAGCAUGUUAGUUGUGUUGUUGUGGCCUUUAUGAUGUAAAUGAAAGACUAAUGGUUCAAGUUGACAUGGAAAUUGGUUGUAGGUUGUUGUAGGAAAUUAUGUGAUUUUAAUAUGGUUUUUAUGUAAUUAUGGAAGUGGAGUUGCUAAAGUGUGAAUUGUUGUUGUUGUUGAUGAAUUUGGAAGAAGAUAAUGCGAUGUUGUAGUCUUGUUGCAUUUGUGGAGAUUUCGAGUGGAAUAUGGUGUUGGUGGGAUUGUUUGAAUAUUGUAUAGAUUGUUUGAAAUGUUCUUGAAUUAUGUUUGAAUGAUCUCGGAUUAGAAAUGAAUAUGUGAGCAUUGAUAUUGGCUUGAAUGUACGUAGUUGAAUUGAAUGUGAUAAGCGCUACGCAGAGGAGAAGGUUACUAAUGUUAGAAUGCAAUUUAAAUUGAUUCUUGAUGUUACUAGUAUGGUUGUUGGUAUUGUUGGUAUGGUUGUUGAUGAAUUUGGUCGAGUUAAAUUCUCGGGGAUGUUGAAUUUACAGGGGAGAUGCUGCCGAAAUUUCUGUAGACAAGUACUAGUUAGAAUUGGAUUUUUAAGUACUUGUAGCUAAUGUUUGGUAAUUGAUAACGUUAUUGUAGAUAUUGGGGAGCCCGAGACUUGAGUCGGGAUUUGGUUAGCGAGCGAUCGAGGUACAGCCGUUCGUUCUGGUGACCCGCCAGUGUAGGACACUUAUUCUGCUAUUUGGAGUACUCCUUUGAUCCGGAGCUCAUAUUUUUGGUACAUAUCUUUCGUGGUACAUAUUUCUAUAUAUAUAUAUAUAUAUGACUAUUCGGGGUACGGCGGGGCCCUGUCCCGUCAUAUGUUUCUGUUAUGGUUUGUAGAGGCCUGUAGACAUAUAUGUGGGUCAUGGGUCGUGUUUGUUCGAUUAUGUCCGUGACUUGUGCCUUAAGCGGUCCCGUUUGCUAUUAUGGCCGAAACGGCCCAUAUGUUUGUAUAUGUAUGUAUAUUCGGGCGAUGUGUGUUCCGCCAGCCUGCCGGCUUUUGUAUGAUAUUUCUGUCACAGGUGACCGCUUAAGAUGACGUCUAUUCUCAAUAUCUGUACAAAGUAACAUAUGU